AAGUUGCAGGAAAAAUUCUGAAAGUAGCUAAUGGUUGUCUGCAGCAAUAUAGUUGAAGAUAGAGUGCAACACAGGUGCUUAAUGAGAUUGACAACAAUAAUAGUACAGGAGACAACUGAGUAGAUCUAUUAAAGCAUUUUAAUUUACCAUACACUUAUUAACAACUGUUCAAUAAUCAUUAUUCAAUUUCAAUAUUAUCAAAAUAUGUACUUAUAUACACUUUCAAUGCUUUGUUGUUACAUCAUUUUGCCUAAUACCAAGACUUGAUGAAAAAAA